ensembl:lncRNA
CCUGCGGCCGGGCGUCACCCACGCGUGGGGCGGGGGCGGCGGGACUCGGCCGGCAACGGCCGUCGAGGAAAUCGGGACCGAGGAGCGGCGGGGCGGCCGAGGAACAAUAUGAAGUUAUUUUCUCUGGCACUCUCUGCAAACAGUAGAAGUUUUGCCUGAAAUUGGGAAUGUUCUAUCCAGAGUUUUUCAAGCAAAUAUCAAGAUUUCCAGCAAUUUCAAUAUUCUUUUGAUCGGGCGCUUAAUCUUCUAGAAAGUGCUGGGCUUAAAAGGAUUAUUGUGUAUGUGGUGCUGACUGCAUAUGGAGUUUGGAGUUCGAGUUGUGUCUAAGGAAGAAGAAAGAAAUUUACUAACAGAUUUUCUAACACCUUGAGUUGACUCUGAACAUCUUUUAAAAACACCAAAGGUUGUGCAGGAGUUGAUUAAAGAUGUGACUAGACCUUCCUUAUUAGGCAUGUAUUGAGUUGAAACUGCUAUAUGAGAAAUGGGCAGGACUGUAUCUCCAGCUUUGAAUUCCUAUCCGGUCCUUCUAAAGAAAUUCUGUUGUGUUACUGACAGCUGAUGCAUGAAGUGAAGUUUGGUGACAGGACUUAAUGUUUUUAAUAACAUCAAAACUACUUGCAGGAAGAGAUUCUUAACAUUCAUUGUGAAAGGCUGAAGGUCGUGCAAUGUUGUACAGUCACUAAUGUUAUGAAGAUAGGAGUCUGCCCCCAGAAACUUGUGCUGCAGCGGCAAGACAGAACACACUCAGCACUGGGUGGGACUUGGAGAGCGUCCUGGGAAAGAGUAGGAGCUCCUGAAUCAGUGAAUCAUAUGAUAGCACAAAUCUCUAUCGGUGGAGCCUACAGCUGCAGACAAACCUUGAAGAAGGUCUCCUACAGCAGCAUGAAAGGCUGCUGACCAGAGGCCAUUAGAACAUGACUGGGAAGAGGAAGACUUGGCUGUGACUGGGCUGGUACCUUCACAGAAGGCCCUCGAACAACUGUUUAUUUCCAGAGUCUUCCCGGGUAACUCUGAAUGUAUUCCUCCUCUCAUGAAAGUAUAGCUACUUACAGUCUUGAGUCUAGGGGGAGAGAGGGAGUUGCAUGCUGACAUUUAAGUGCCCCUUUUUACUGUCUUGCCCUUCUUAUAAAAAAUGUCAUUUAAAAUUUAAAUUAUAACAUUAGUGAAAUCUUAUUAAAUUUAAUAUGAUUUAAAUUAAAAUAAAAUUGCUAAAAUCAUCAAGUUGUGCAGAAAAAAAAAUGCAUAAUAAAAAAUUAAAAUUAGAAAAGUCCUCAGGGAGGAGGGCCAUCAUAACCCUCUUUCCUUCUCUUCUACCCCACUUCUCCCAAAUGGCUAUAUUGUAUGCAGUCAAAUUCUUUAAGAACUCAUGCAGUUGAAAGAGGAAAAGACUUUUCUGUAUGCCAAUAAGUGCAAAAACAUGCGAUUGUAAAUGAAGAAAUUGAUAUGUAAAGGUUCAAUGAUUUGUUCAAAGAAUAAAUGAAGCUGGCAUUAGUCACUAUGUGUUGUUGCUUAUGUGCACAGAACUGGGCAUAUCUAUAUGGUGUUCAUAUUCUUAAACAAAUCGAUUGUUAGACAUUUAACAUGAACAGCUGCGAGUGAAAUAUUUUGUAUUUUAGAUUUUUGUGAAAAUCUGCAUACCACAGACUUCUAGAAUGCAAGCAGAAGAUAAUCCUUCUUCAGAAUUAGUCAUAACGACUGUGAAGAGAUCUGAAUUUUUACACUGCUCUUGCCCCUGUUGUGAGUUUCUGGUGGAUAAGCUGAUAGCUUCAGUUUUCAAAGAUGUCAGGCAAGCUCUUUUUUUGUACCAAUGGGUAACAGCAGUUGUUCUCUGGUAGCAAUUAUUAUCUUUCACAGCAUAUAAAGGCUUGAUGUGCUAUUAACUAAUCUUCUUGAGGUGAAAACUUCUUGUCCGUUUGUCUAAAGCUUUGAGUAUUUUACAGAAAAAUUCUCUAUCCAUCCAUUAUAAUGAAAAAAUACUUUGUCAGCAUUCUGUGAUGUGUUUUGAUUACCAGUUACCUUAUGACUACAUUAACAUCAAUAUAUUUUUUUUUCAAAACAGAUUUAAGAUUCUGCCUUUCAAAUCCUACUUGGUUAAAAAAAACAAACAAAAAAAAAAGUAGCAUCAUAAGGAAGGUCUGGCAUGCAUUUGAUACAACUCAGCUUAUGCAUUCUCACCAUCCAAUGUAUUGGCUUUACUAGGGAUUUGAUUUGGACCCAGAUUCAACACAGAUAUAUAAUGUGCACAGUAGCAUGUAGCUAUUUGCGAUGGACUACAUCAGGACUGUGGGUAAAUAGUUCUUAUGCUUUGAUAUGCAUGCUGAUGUCCCCAGUAAAAUUACUUUUUAAGCAACAUAUGGAGAAAGCGUGUUACCAUGAGUCAAAGUAUUGUAAAUAGUCUUACUAUUUAGUUCAAAAAUACUCAUUUCAAUAUAUUUUCAGUAUCCUCC